rnacentral:rRNA from 1 species
GACAUAUGAAGUAUACUUCUAUUGAAAGGUUCCAGAGUAGGCGCUACAACGCCGAAAUGACCUUCUCACCCUUGUUUACUCACUAUGUUGCUUUGGCGGGUCGACCUGGUUCCGACCCAGGCGGCCGGCGCCCCCAGCCUUAAGCUGGCCAGGACGCCCGGCUAAGUGCCCGCCAGUAUACAAAACUCAAGAAUUCAUUUUGUGAAGUCCUGAUAUAUCAUUUAAUUGAUUAAAGAGCUUUCAACAACGGAUCUCUAUGGUUCUGGCAUCGAUGAAGAACGCAGCGAAAUGCGAUAAGUAAUGUGAAUUGCAGAAUUCAGUGAAUCAUCGAAUCUUUGAACGCACAUUGCGCCCUCUGGUAUUCCGGAGGGCAUGCCUGUUCGAGCGUCAUUUUCAACCCUCAAGCGCUGCUUGGUAUUGGGCAACGUCCGCUGCCGGACGUGCCUUGAAUACCUCGGCGACGGGGUCCUAUCCUCGAGCGUUAUAAUAAAAUAUCUCGCUUUGGAAUGCUGGGCGACGGACGCCGGACAAUCGAACUUCGGUCUAUUAUUCCAAAGUUGAGCUCGGAACAAGUAUGGAUUUCCCCCUUAAUUUAUGCAUAUCUUUAAUACAGGAGGANGC